rnacentral:rRNA from 1 species
AGUCGAGCGGUAGAGAGAAGCUUGCUUCUCUUGAGAGCGGCGGACGGGUGAGUAAUGCCUAGGAAUCUGCCUGGUAGUGGGGGAUAACGUUCGGAAACGGACGCUAAUACCGCAUACGUCCUACGGGAGAAAGCAGGGGACCUUCGGGCCUUGCGCUAUCAGAUGAGCCUAGGUCGGAUUAGCUAGUUGGUGGGGUAAUGGCUCACCAAGGCGACGAUCCGUAACUGGUCUGAGAGGAUGAUCAGUCACACUGGAACUGAGACACGGUCCAGACUCCUACGGGAGGCAGCAGUGGGGAAUAUUGGACAAUGGGCGAAAGCCUGAUCCAGCCAUGCCGCGUGUGUGAAGAAGGUCUUCGGAUUGUAAAGCACUUUAAGUUGGGAGGAAGGGCAGUAAAUUAAUACUUUGCUGUUUUGACGUUACCGACAGAAUAAGCACCAGCUAACUCUGUGCCAGCAGCCGCGGUAAUACAGAGGGUGCAAGCGUUAAUCGGAAUUACUGGGCGUAAAGCGCGCGUAGGUGGUUAGUUAAGUUGGAUGUGAAAUCCCCGGGCUCAACCUGGGAACUGCAUUCAAAACUGACUGACUAGAGUAUGGUAGAGGGUGGUGGAAUUUCCUGUGUAGCGGUGAAAUGCGU